CACACCUCGCCUUGACCAUCGAUUGUUCCAUUCUCACCUGCGGAAGCAAAAUGUGAAUCAUCCAAACAAACAUAGACCAUCCUUGAUCAUCUGAGUAUUUGAACCAGGUAAUCCAUUUGUGCGAGGAAGAAAGCAAAAACAAGCUGCUUGAAAUAUGUACACAUCGUAGGUUCACCAAAGAUGGACCUCUGCAAACCAGAGUGGACUGCAAGGAUAAAGAAAUCUGCCUGAGCUGAGACCUAACUUCGAAUCCUUUGCACCGUGAAUAGCAUCCUGUGUUCGCUAUUCACUCUAAUAUCAUUUAAAAUACGAAAAUUUGUGAUUACAAAAGCGUAUAAGAACACAAAUUAGAUUCUUGAUGUAUGAAGAGCUUCUCUCUGUUUUACUGUUGCUGCCCAGGCGAGGCAUGCCCUUCUCGACAGAUGAACAUCGUCCGCUUGGGGAAAAAAUCAUUAAAUUCGAAUGUUUUCAUUAUCACAUCCUUUUUCUACAAAUAAUCAUGCAUGUAUGCCCUUUUGUUUGUUCUUAUUAUUUAUCGUUUCAGCUGCAGGGCAUAGAGAUUCGUCUCCGUCGGGUGAAAGACCUUUCAGUGCUUCCGCUAAUGUUGCCCAGGAAACAGCGCCCAUGUUGGCAUUGGACAUGGAAACCACUGUGUGUCGCCAAUGGUGCAUGUUUUGUUAAUAGAUCUCCACAAAAGAAUGUAGAAUUCAAAAGAGUGCA
rnacentral:lncRNA from 1 species